AAGUAUCUCCUGAACCAACCUGUCGAAAAGGGUUGAAUAUGUGCACAUCAGACCCAAAAUCCAAUCAAAGAUCCACAAACCAAUAACAAAAACAAUAAUACCAAGCAAGAUUAAACUGAUACACUAUUUCCAUUGCAAAAUCAAGUAUCAAGAGUAAUCAAGAAGUCAUCCAAAUUGUUCAAUUACAAGUUUUUCAGAAAUAACAAGAAUGGGUAAAUCAUGGAUGAUACUGUCAGCAGCUUAAACGCAGAAGAUGAGAUAUGUACAGUUUGUAAGUGCAAGCAUAGAAUCACCUGUGCAGCAAUGGUG
rnacentral:misc_RNA from 1 species